CAGAUCUCCCACCAAGUCAAAUUGGUGACCCGAACCAGUGACCUAUCAGCCACCGGCCCAAGCUCACAACUGCCAGGCCACCAACCAUCCAAGAUCCCCCAACAGUUCCCCAAGAGCUGCCCCUCAACCUCUCCCUCCAAUAACCACCCCCAACCCUCAAUGCGCGCCAACAACCAACAAAAUGAACUAAAGAGAAAAAACUAAAGAAAACAUCAAUGCAAAAACAAAAGACAUCAUGGACAACAACAAUCUAAACAGCAAGGCCAACGAAUCUUCACUCGUUCAUCACGCAUGUGUCAGCUCCUAGAUGGGCUCGGAGGGGUGGAAAAGCGCCAAGUUAAUGUUCAAGUGCCGUCUGUUGAAUUUGAAGACAAUUACAGGGCCCUGGAAUAAGCAGGUACAGGUAUUGGCCUAACCCUGAUAAUGCUGGCCUUCUGAGAAUGAGGACAGUGCUGAGAUGAACACAGAAACAUUGCAUCCUCUGAGGCUGGGAAUGACGUGUCAUAACUGAAAGACAACCACCACGCAUGGUAGAAUGUGUCUAUUUACAGAAGAAACAGGAGGCUGACAUUGUGCAAAUGGUAGUUGAAAAUAAUGCCAUAAGACUGCGAGAAAUCCAAUAACAGAUCAUUGAAAACCCAGCCAUCUUCCAUAACAUCAGAAUGAGUUUAUCAACCAUAGCCCGCAUCCUUAAGAAACACCAUCUCCGGAUGAAGCAAAUCUACAGAGUCCCAUUUGAAAGGAAUUCCCAAAGAGUGAAGGAUAAACGGUACGAAUAUGUGCAAAGAAUCAUGGAGUUGGAUGCAAGUCCCAUCCCCCAGGAACUCAUAUUCAUACAGUAGAUGAGGCUGGAUUCAAUUUAGCGAAGACGAGGAGUGGAAGGAACACCGUGCCAUCAUUGAGGUAGCUGGCCGGCGCUGGGGAAAUGUCACCAUAUGCACAGCUAUAAGCCACAAUUGUGUCCUCCACCGCCAUGCUACACUUGGACCAUACAACACUGCCCAUCUCCUUAAUGACAAUCAUUUUCAGCCAGAGCUGAGAGGGCCAGGGGAUCCUGAGCCAGAGCAAAUGUAUGUUCUAAUUUGGGACAACGUGACUUUCCAUUGGGCUGCUCAGGUCCGUAACUGGUUCCAUGACCAUCCCAGGUUUACAAUUCUCUAUCUCCCACCAUAGUCCCCAUUUCUCAACCCCAUUGAGGAGUUAUUUUCAGCAUGGCGGUGGAAGGUGUAUGAUCGAAAACCCCAUGAACGUAUGGCCCUUCUCCAGGCAAUGGAGGAUGCCUGUGGUGAGUCCUGUCAGGGGUGAAUGCGUUAUGCCAGAAGAUAUUUCCCCCGCUGUCUGACCAAGGAGAAUAUCGCCUGUGAUGUUGAUGAAAAUCUGUGGCCGGACCAAAACAACAGACAUGACUGAUUUUGUUUUUGCAAUGGAGUAUUUUAUUUCUUGACUUAUGAUUUUACUGUAUUUUGACAGUUUCUUUAUCUAUACAAUUGAUCUAACAUACAGUACAGUAGUACAAAUAGGCCUAUAUUACUAUAUUUAAUAUAUUUACUGUAUGUUUGCAUUUUUACUGUAUGUGUGCUUUGAUAUGUAUUGAGUCAUGUUGAAAUAUAAAACUUACAUUUGUGUAUUUGUGUUCCUUUUUUGUUUGAGUACACACAAACAAUAUGAAGUAUAACAACAAAAUCGUAGUCUUUACACUGAAAUAGGUUAUGAUAGUAGUGUUUUGAAUAUGUCACAUUAGUGUGAUCCCAGUUGUCACUAAGUUAGAUUCAUAUGAUGUGUGUGUGUGUGUGUGUCUCAUUUGUAUGCAGAGUUUCAUUUUGAGCAGGGAGUACAUGAUUUUGAUUGCUGUGUUUCAUUUUGCAAGAUUUCUGUGGGGUUUGGGGAAAUUGGCUAACUGUUUUGUGUUUAGAGUACCCGAGAUGUAGUUUCAGCAAACGUGUGUUAACAAUUGGGAAAAACUGUAAAUACAUUAAAUACAAUACAUGCCCCUCUACCUCUCAUUUGCCAUUGCCCUCGUCCUCUUACUUGGUCUAUUCUUGCAAACAGCAACUCAGAGGUGACCUCUUUUAUGCAUGAAUAAGGACUGAUUGAACAAUUGUGCAAAGAAGAUUUGCACACGUGCAGAAGAGGUUCACAAUCAUGGGAGUCAUUUGUAUCAGCUGUGACCAAAUGUUUUAAUUUUGUUUGACAUGAUUUACUCAACUGAUUUUGUGUCUUUUGUUGAGAGUUGUAUUUACUGUUUAGCAAAAAUGUACUUAGCAUUUGCAUAGUGAAAGCAAUGAGAAAUGACUUACUGUUUUGCAAAAAAGUAUAUUGUUGUGCUCAUUAAGUUAUGAUGGAGCUCAAGUGGACCCCAGUUUCAUUAAAGGUGUCUUAGCAAUCGAGAAAAACUGUAAUACAUUCCUACCUAUUUCCUGAUAAUAUAGCUUCCUGUGUACCAGUGGUUAUGUUUCACACAUCAUCAGACAAAACAUGAAAUCAGUACAGUAGAAUCAACAACAUAAUAGUUUUACAAUGGAAAUGGAU